CUAGCACAUGGCAUCAGGUAGGGGACUUCCUGAACAUACUCUAUGUCACCUUUGGUGAAAUUACAGAUCAUUAUGUCUACAAAGUGGAGACUGUUGCAGGUCAUGUCUGGUGAUAAAGCUGGAUGAUAUGAGCCUGGGUGCCACCAACAGUCAGAUUCCUGGUGACUUGGAGAAGACCAAGAAGAAGACUGAGAAGAGUUCAAGAUAGAAUACUAGUUUGAUUUUUAUCAGGUCAUAAUUUCUGUAAUUCAGUUAUAUAAUUUAAAAAAUUCCAUUUGUUGUUUGCAAUCAAAAGAAUUCUAACAAAUUCUGAUGUGGUAUAAAAGCAAUAAAGUUCCUGAAAAUAAGC
rnacentral:lncRNA from 1 species